UUAUCUUAUAGUCCGCCUCCAACCGCUAAUGGAGGUUUAAUUGUACAUAUAAAUUCAUUUCUAAAAGGGACCAAAGACGAUGUAUCCUCUCCAGAUGGAUUAACUCCACAGAAUGCCGCACGAUACCUCUCCAAAAAAUCGCACAUGUGUAAGGGAAGAUGGAACCCAAACUGCCCCUGGACAAAACAAACCAAAGCUUUGCACCUGCCGCAAGCAUAGGAGCCGCCUUUCAUUUCAUCCCUCUUUCCCACCACCUCAGAUAUCUGUUUUGAGCAUCCCAUCCUCACCCACCAGAAUGUGAAGAUCCAGAAAGUCCAGCUCUCUUGCAGCCUGAAAG